GACGAACGCUGGCGGCGUGCCUAAUACAUGCAAGUCGAGCGAAGUGUCGAUGGUGCUUGCCCCGGGAAGACUUCGGGGCACACGGGUGAAACACGCGUAAAACCCCUCCCUCAUAGACUGGGACAACUGGUGAAAACGAUAGCAAACACCGAAUAAUAUCCUUAACUGUAUCGAUAAUGUUUAAGAGUUUGUUUCGGUAACACUUAGAUGUAGCUUUGCUGUGCAUUAGCUAGUUGGUGGGGUAAAGGCCUAACAAGGCGACGAUGCAUCGCCGACCUGAGAGGGUGAUCGGCCACACUGGGACUGAGACACGGCCCAGACUCCUACGGGAGGCAGCAGUAGGGAAUCUUCCGCAAUGGGCGAAAGCCUGACGGAGCAACGCCGCGUGAGUGAAGAAGGAGUUCGGAUCGUAAAACUCUGUUGUUAGGGAAGAACGUGUGUGUAGGAAAUAGACAAAGUAUAGACGGUACCUAAACAGAAAGCCACGGCUAACUACGUG
rnacentral:rRNA from 1 species